rnacentral:sRNA from 1 species
CCAUAUCAGUUUGGGUACAGGCGCGUGUCUGGGGAAGACCCAUGAUCCAAUCCAACAGGCGCCAGGACGAUUUAAAACCUAUUGUUGACAUCAAUCUCCAUGAAAAAUUAGAACUUAGGCCCUAAGAGUUGCCCCGCACGUAAGAUGUAUUAAAUUUAUUUAUUUGUUUUGUAUUUUUAAUUAUCAGAAUAAUCUCAUGAGAAUCACCGGACACAGCAGCUCUGGGGUUAUCAAAAGCACCAAGUGUGGCCUGCCGGGUGGGUAAUCUUGCAGAUAAUCCAAAGAUGGGUUCUUCUGAGGAUUCUAUUAUCCGUUGGAUGAACUCCAAGGCGGUUACGCCAAUUUCCCCGCUGGUAAUUAAUUAGUUUUCCUUUACUAGCUACUACUUGGAACUUUAGGAGGAUUUGCAAAAGGCAUUGUGUUUGGUGGCGUAAACUGUCUAAAUCUGGCAGCACAGGGCCGAACAGAGUCAUCAUGGAUUACAAGUAUGUAAAAAAUUCCAUCUGUUAGUUAAUUCUACCUGUUGACAGGGAGCGGAAGGAGAGCGGAAGGGGAAUAAAAUAGCACCAUAGAGUUGCAGUGCAGUGCUGGGGGAUUACCUACACAGAUACUCAGACUAAAUAGAACGAAGUGGAAAAAUAUGAGA